rnacentral:tRNA from 1 species
UAGAAGCAAGCUUUUGUAGCAUUUCAUUUACACUGAAAAGGAACUUGUAGGUACAAGGCUUUUAA